CCUACGGGUGGCAGCAGUGGGGGAUAUUGCUCAAUGGGCGAAAGCCUGAUGCAGCAACGCCGCGUGAGUGAUGACGUCUUUCGGUUUUUAAAACCUCUUUUGACGGGGAGAAAAUGACGGUACCUGUCCAGGAAGCACCGGCUACCUACGUGCCACCAGCCGCGGUAAUACGGGGGGUGCAAGCGUUAUCCGGAUUUAAUGGGCGUAAAGCGGUCGUAGGCGGUUAUGGAAGUCUGAAGGUAAAGUCAGGGGCCCAACCCCGGUACGGCGUUGGAAACUGGGUAACUUGAGUACUGGAGGGGUAGGCGGAAUGCCUGGUGUAGCGGUGAAAUGCGUAGAUAUCAGGAGGAACACCGGUGGCGAAGGCGGCUUACUGGA
rnacentral:rRNA from 1 species